GAGCGCGAGAGACAGUCAGUCUGUGUCUCGCCUCCGUGUGAGAAGAAUGUAAAUAAGACAUGAUAGAGACCAAAUAGAUAAGGAAGAUCUCCCUGGGAGAGCAGUGUACAUAGCAGAGAUACUUAGAGAUAUAUAUACAGAUACAUAUAUAUAUAUCUGUAAUACUUAUGUGUAUAUAUAUAGAUACAAAAUAAAAGAGACUCCAGCCUUUAUACGAGGAUUUUAAGUAUAAGAUAGAAAUAUGAUAAAGAAGGAAUAAUGAAAUCCACAUGAAGAAGAGAGGUGUGAUGCGCAUCCGAGAAUAAAGAGGAAAUAGAAUAUUUGGAUUUAUAUAAGACAUGAAUCAUUUAAAUGAGCGAAGCAGAACGUGUCAAGAAGGAAGAGGAUAAAACAGGAAGGAAGGAAGAAUAAGAAGAGGAAGGAAUAACAACCGAUAAUCAUGAUUCACUGCGCUGCUCUGGUAAGUGAUAAUUCACGUCUCGCAGUGGAAGGACAAGUCGCACCGCAGGUAAAGUCCAGGUUCAAACAGGAUUGGUAGAGAUAAUAAAAAAUAUUUUGGUCGCUUACUUCGGAUGUGGGAUAUACGUGCAUAUGCAAUCAC
rnacentral:lncRNA from 1 species